rnacentral:rRNA from 1 species
GAACGCUGGCGGCAGGCCUAACACAUGCAAGUCGAACGGUAACAGGAAGUAGCUUGCUUCUUUGCUGACGAGUGGCGGACGGGUGAGUAAUGUCUGGGAAACUGCCUGAUGGAGGGGGAUAACUACUGGAAACGGUAGCUAAUACCGCAUAACGUCGCAAGACCAAAGAGGGGGACCUUCGGGCCUCUUGCCAUCGGAUGUGCCCAGAUGGGAUUAGCUAGUAGGUGGGGUAACGGCUCACCUAGGCGACGAUCCCUAGCUGGUCUGAGAGGAUGACCMGCCACACUGGAACUGAGACACGGYCGCGUMGACYCCYACUGCUGCCUCCCGUAGGAGUCU